rnacentral:lncRNA from 1 species
AUUUGUUAUAUUGCUUAUAAUACUUGGUUGGCAAGGAAUGAUUGUAUUUUCUAAGAUAUGAGAUAUGGCGCUAAAUUUAUUUUUCUAAAAACUUCCAUUUGGGCUCAUGAAUUCCUUCAUUUGGUUGCCACAGAAGGAUUUUUGAUAGUAUGAGUAAUCUAUGACUCUUCUUUUGUAGAUUUUGUAUCUUUGCAAUAAAUUUUUUUUGAGAGCCACCAUCCCCUAUUUCCUC